rnacentral:lncRNA from 1 species
GCCAAAAAUCAAGUAUGGCGAAAUCUGUGAAUGAUUCUUGCACUGGUGCUUUCUCCAACGGGUCCUAAACUUUACACUUUGGAUAGAGUGGAGCUGCUGCUGCGUACGGAGACUGGAUAGAAAUCACCACAUUCAUGAGGGUGUUUGUUCAGAAAUGGUCAGAGGAGACCUGUACCAGGGAAUGAUGCAGUCCAUGUCCAUGAGGAGGAGGACACUGAAGGCAGAUGUGCUCCGGAAGGCCUGCAGGAUGGGGAGGGCCAAGAAGGUUGAAUUCAUGGGAGUGGAGAAGCAAGCCAACUGCAACCACCUGAAAGCUGUGUCGACUAGAAUGAGCCCUUGAGACGCUCCCUCCUCCCUCAUCAUAUUCUCCCUUGCAGUGUUCAUCCAGCCGGACAGUCGAUGGUGUUCACCUUACACCCCCCAGAGGAGUACUGAGGCCGUCUUCCUCAUCCUCUUCAUCAGUCUUCUCAGGAAUGGUACCCCAACAAUUGAUUCCUACAGUCGCCUAGGUAAGAGUUUGUCUGGUUGACCAGUGCUGGGUCGUGUUAAUUCGUGCACACUAUAGCAAAAUA